GUUGAGGGGAAUGUUGUCUGGUUCGAGACCAUUCAUGUGAAAGAAGAUAAAAUCAGCAUCAGAUGGGUGAUUUCGGACCAGGCUUCAUUCCCCCCAAC
rnacentral:pre_miRNA from 1 species